rnacentral:rRNA from 1 species
GUUGGGUAGGGGAGCGUUCUGUAAGCCGUCGAAGGUGGCCUGUGAGGGCUGCUGGAGGUAUCAGAAGUGCGAAUGCUGACAUAAGUAACGAUAAAGCGGGUGAAAAACCCGCUCGCCGGAAGACCAAGGGUUCCUGUCCAACGUUAAUCGGGGCAGGGUGAGUCGACCCCUAAGGCGAGGCUGAAAAGCGUAGUCGAUGGGAAACAGGUUAAUAUUCCUGUACUGGCUGUUACUGCGAAGGGGGGACGGAGAAAGCUAGGUUGGCCGGGCGACGGUAGUCCCGGUUUAAGCGUGAAGGUGGGUGUUUUUGGCAAAUCCGGAACACCAUAACACUGAGGCGUGAUGACGAGCCACCACGGUGGCGAAGUAACCGAUGCUACGCUUCCAGGAAAAGCCUCUAAGCACCAGGUAACAGUGAAUCGUACCCCAAACCGACACAGGUGGUCAGGUAGAGAAUACUCAGGCGCUUGAGAGAACUCGGGUGAAGGAACUAGGCAAAAUGGUGCCGUAACUUCGGGAGAAGGCACGCUGGAUUUGGUGAAGUCCCUUGCGGACGGAGCUGAGACCAGUCGCAGAUACCAGCUGGCUGCAACUGUUUAAUAAAAACACAGCACUGUGCAAACACGAAAGUGGACGUAUACGG